AUUGAACGCUGGCGGCAUGCCUUACACAUGCAAGUCGAACGGUAACAGGUCUUCGGCUGCUGCCGAGUGGCGAACGGGUGCGUAAUACAUCGGAACGUGCCCAGACGUGGGGGAUAACGAGGCGAAAGCUUUGCUAAUACCGCAUACGAUCUAAGGAUGAAAGCAGGGGACCGCAAGGCCUUGCGCGUUUGGAGCGGCCGAUGGCAGAUUAGGUAGUUGGUGGGAUAAAAGCUUACCAAGCCGACGAUCUGUAGCUGGUCUUAGAGGACGACCAGCCACACUGGGACUGAGACACGGCCCAGACUCCUACGGGAGGCAGCAGUGGGGAAUUUUGGACAAUGGGCGAAAGCCUGAUCCAGCAAUGCCGCGUGCAGGAUGAAGGCCUUCGGGUUGUAAACUGCUUUUGUACGGAAAGAAAAGGCUCUGGCUAAUACCUGGGGCACAUGACGGUACCGUAAGAAUAAGCACCGGCUAACUACGUG
rnacentral:rRNA from 1 species